GGACGCGGGGAUUGUACGCCUCGAUUCUAAGUCUUGAAGGGGCCCAAAACAAACAUUAGUGGACCAAGUUGAUAUAUAUAUAUAUAUAUAUAAUAAAACAGUUAUCAACAUACUAACCCCCAGGUUUUAUGAAAACACAUAUAACAUGAUAAAAUAGGUUUUCUGAAACCUAGCAUGUCGUGCAAUGUCUCAAAACAUAUCUUGUAUAUAUAAUAAUCACUAGUGAAUGUUCGAUAACCCCCAAGCCCCAUGCCAACUCCCCGUCUCUGUGCCAAUUGCCAGAGGAAAAUAACCCCCAAACCCCGUGCCAGCUCCCCGUCCCUGUGCUAAUAACCAGAGGAAAACCAUUUUCAGGCCUUAUGCCAACACCAUAACCGUCGCCCAGGACGGAAUAGAAUCUAUCCCUCGCCUCGUAACGGAAUUGGAACCACUAGGUAAGUACAAAAUCAUUGAACAUAUAUUUAUUUGAAAGGCAACUUCAUAGUAUAAAGUCAUCCAUUAUCUAUACUAUAAAGAGGUGUUCGAAACAUGUUCUAAAUAUCAUAUCGUCAUCCAUCAGAUAUUCUAUAAGAACACGGGUUAUAGGAAAAAUAGUAAUAAUUCAAUCUAGCCUCAGUUAGCAUGUUAUCUCAAAGUGUUUCAUAGAAUAUAAUUGUUAAAUCAUGAUUUUCCAUGUAUGCAUUUCUACUAUUAAAACAUGCAUUUUUAGAAGGGGUCCACUCACAGAUACUUAGCCGUAAAAAAGCCACGCAAACUAGCGAACACGGAAUCGUCACAAAUAAUUACCCCUAAGCACAUAAAGGGUCCAAUUAAUAAAACUAUAUUAUAACAAUUGAAUUUGGGAAAACGGAUGCUGAAAACGGAUUCAGGACGUCAAAUUACCCAAGAAGGGUCUUAGAUAAAUUUCGUAAACGUCAAUAGAAUAUUCCCUAAUGGAAUAUUCUCUAAUGGAAUAUUCCCUAACGGAAUAUUCCACAUAAAGGGUUUGGGUCGGUUAGGGUUUAGGGUUUAGGACUUAAGUUAGGGUUAGGUCUUAGAAUAAUGGGUUAAUGGGUUUAGGCUAAGGGCUAAAAGGUUUGGGUUUGAAACUGGGUUGGAAUUAAGGGUAGUGGUAUGCCAGACCAAAGGUUUGGGGUAGAAUAAGGUUUUGGGGCUAGGUUAGAUAAUUAGGUUGGGCUUGGAAUUGGGUUUAGGGCUUAGAGGGUAAAGGGUUAGGCUGCCCAAAAGGGCUGGGUUCCAUGGCCCAAUGAAUUGGGCCGAUCUAAAUAUGU
rnacentral:lncRNA from 1 species